rnacentral:tRNA from 1 species
GCGCCCGUAGCUCACUUGGAUAGAGCGCCUGGCUUCGAACCAGGAGGCAGCAGGUUCGAUUCCUGCCGGGCGCGCCA